rnacentral:misc_RNA from 1 species
CACAAUUUUACCGACCUCUUGGUUAUAAUGAUGUUCUCUGUGGAGCCAAAAUUUUCGCUAAUCGACAAAAUAACCACAAUAUGGGUCUCUAAACUCAAUCCGCUGCAAAAUAUUACACUUACGGCAAAAGUUGUGGGUGAUAAAGGCGGAGUGUUCGAGUCGCACGCGCACUUCAUCGCUGAUAAACAUGGCCAGGUUGACGUUGGUCGUGACCCGUCUGUGGGUGGAUCUUACAGCGGAGUUUCAGCCAUGGGACUGUUAUGGAGCAUGAAACCAGCACCAGGACAGAGAAAAGGAAUUCGACUGAUGAAAUAUGAUGUCACUAAACCGUAUAUUAUCGAACUGAAAUGUUUCAGUGAUCACGUAACUCUGAGCGAAACAUCCAAUCAACCCAUGGCUAUCACGACAUUUCUGAAGGGGUACAUGGCUAAUGGCGUGAGGCGAAUUCCUGUGAAAGAAGGAAGAAUCCGUGGAACAUUAUUUCUACCACCCGGUAAAGGACCAUUCCCAGGUAUCAUAGAUCUACUGGGCGGAGUCGGUGGACUGGUUGAAUACAAGGCUUGUCUUCUGGCUUCUCAUGGCUUUGCUGCACUAGCACUGGCUUACUUUGCAUACGACGAUCUUCCCGUCGAACCAGAAUACUUUAAUCUUGAUUAUUUUGCAGAGGCAGCAGAAUGGCUUCGCAAUUAUCCCAGUGUUGUGUCAAGUGGUGUGGGUUUGCACUCAAUCUGUAUGGGAAGCUGGCUUGCGCUUCUUCUUGCAAGCUACCGAAAUGACCUGGUAAAAGCUGUGGUAGCAAUAUCACCAUGGAAUGCUCCUUACUGGAAACCUUACCGAUAUAACGGUAAACUGUCAAAUGUAUUUCAAGUGGAAAAUGCGCAGAUGAAAGUAACUGAUGAAGGCAUCAUAUGGAAGAAUUGUGUUGCUCGUGCGAAAGAAACUGCUCUUGCUUCAGCCGAGCUACCAGCACUCACACCGGUCGAACGAAUCACUUGUCCUAUUUUGCUUGUUUACGGAACUGAUGAUCAGAAUAUUGAUUCGGAAUUUAUCACAAAUUGUAUAUCUGGAUGUCUGAAAGCAAAGGGAAAGGAAUCAUUUUGUACCAUUUUACGGCAGCACAAUGCUGGUCACAUAAUUGAACCCCCCUAUACUCCACUAUGUAAUGCAGCGUAUAUGAAGACAUUUAAGCAGCAUUGGGUGUAUGGUGGGGAUCCCAAGAACCACGCCUUAGCACAGGAAAACACGUAGAAAAAAAUUUUAAAUUUCCUGGGAAAAAAUCUAAGGACCUGUAAGAGCACUUUAUAGCUCAUUGGGUGUUCGGUGGGGAUCUCGAGGACCACGCCUUAGCACAGGAAACCACGUGGAAAAAGUUUAGAAUUCCUUGGACAAAAUUUAAAGACCUGUAAGGGCACUUUAUAGCGAGUACAAGAACACAAAAACGGUUCACUGAUAGGUUCUUCGCAGCUACAUCCAAUCUGUUGUAAUGGGGGUGCUAUUCUAGGUUGAUCAACAGAUUUUUAACUAAAAAUUCCAAUAUGGGUUUAUUCCAGAUUUAAAAUUUUUUGUCAGCGUGAAUCUUCGGCAACCGUUUCCAACGUUGUGCACCACUGGUUCGGUCGCGGUUUGUAAAAAUCUGAAUUAAAAAUGAAAAUAAAGCGAAGGGGAAAAGAAGAAUAAUGAACGAAACAACCACAUAAAAGGGCCGGAAACUUGUCAUAGCUAAGACACCUGCUCCAUCGUUAAUUUAUACGAUGACGCUGACAGAAUACACUUUUUUCGCUUGCUUCCGCUCGCCUUCGGUCGCUGUGGAAAAUCUGAAGGUGAAGUCAGGGCGAAGCUAGGUAAACCGUUUGAUUUUCUUCUAAGACAGCAUUGGUUUAGCUGUAAACUAACCACAUCGAAUCGUACGCACAGGAUAAAUGCAAAUUUCUACGAGGUCAAGAUAGCUACGGAAAAUCAGAAAAUACAAGAGUACAAUUCGGCAGAUUGAGUCAAAAUACAGUCAGCCUUUAAGAAAAACAACUCCAGCCAACAGAGAAUCAAGAGAGACUUUCCCAGGAAGUUAGCAGUGAUUUAUCAUCCAGAAAUCAUCGAACAAGAGCGCUUAAACUACCGAGAGAAAACAAAAGUAAAUUUAUUUGAUUUGAGAAAGAUUGGAUCGUAUACCAUGUUUUAAGCUUUUAAAAAAUAUUCUGGCUCGAGUGGUCAAAAAUUCUGGUGAUCAGAUGCUUUCAUCAGUUUGAUCCGGUCAGCCUUCUCGCUAACUGAAGUAAAUCCCUUGGCAAUUCUCGCGACGAGUUGUGACAGUCUGAGCGGCGGCCAUAUUGAUUUAUCUGGGUCGAAAAAUCAUAAACUUGGGCGAACAAUUUUUCCUCGAAAUCUUGAAUCGGAAUCUUCUGGCAGAACUGAAAAGCCUUCAACAAAGUGAAAAGGCUUUUAGCAACAUACCUAGGACUUGCGUUAAAGGGAAAAACGCAGUUGGAAUUCCUAGUUUAUAAUAUACUUCAUCCGUAGACUGAGUAAAGAGUCACCAAUAUG